rnacentral:rRNA from 1 species
GACGAACGCUGGCGGCGUGCUUAACACAUGCAAGUCGAACGGUAAGGCCCUUCGGGGUACACGAGUGGCGAACGGGUGAGUAACACGUGGGUGAUCCGCCCUGCACUUCGGGAUAAGCCUGGGAAACUGGGUCUAAUACCGGAUAGGACUCCUGGCUUCAUGGUUGGGGGGGGAAAGCUUUUGCGGUGUGGGAUGGGACCGCGGCCUAUCAGCUUGUUGGUGGGGUAAUGGCCUACCAAGGCGACGACGGGUAGCCGGCCUGAGAGGGUGACCGGUCACACUGGGACUGAGAUACGGCCCAGACUCCUACGGGAGGCAGCAGUGGGGAAUAUUGCACAAUGGGCGCAAGCCUGAUGCAGCGACGCCGCGUGAGGGAUGACGGCCUUCGGGUUGUAAACCUCUUUCAGCUAUGACGAAGCGCAAGUGACGGUAGUAGCAGAAGAAGGACCGGCCAACUACGUGCCAGCCGCCGCGGUAAGAC